GACGAACGCUGGCGGCGUGCUUAACACAUGCAAGUCGAACAGUGGCGGACGGGUGAGUAAUGCUUGGGAAUCUAGCUUAUGGAGGGGGAUAACUACGGGAAACUGUAGCUAAUACCGCGUACCAUAGGAUGAGCCCAAGUGGGAUUAGGUAGUUGGUGAGGUAAAGGCUCACCAAGCCGACGAGUUCUAGCUGUUCUGAGAGGAUGACCAGCAACACGGGGACGGAGACACGGCCCAGACUCCUACGGAAGGCAGCAGUGGGGCAUAUUGCGCAAUUGGGGCAACCUAACGCAGCAGUGACGCGUGAUUGAAGAAGGCCUUCGGGUUGUAAAGUUCUUUCGGUAGCUAGGCGUUAACUACAGAUGAAGCACCGGCUAACUCCGUGCCAGCCGCCGCGGUAAUAC
rnacentral:rRNA from 1 species